CGACCGCGCACUUUAGCGCCUCCAAUGACGUCUCCGCACCUAAGCGUAAAGUAGCACUAGCCCCGCUCUGUAUUCCCAAUUUCCCACCCAGUCGCAGCUAUUCCCCUUCUUCCACCUCCUCCUUUACGAAAAAACAUGAGCUCUGGACCAAAAUAAAAUGAAUUAAAUAAGAUGAAUAUUUCAUUUUUCAUUUUUCAUUUUUCAUUUUUUUAAUUACUAAUCCAUCCUCAAUAUCACUUCUCGUAAUUGUCGCCCUGCCUUCGGCAGCCGAAAUGGCUCCGGCUACCUCCUCCCCGGCAGCGGCUCAGAAGCUCUUCCCCUUCAAAGGCUCCGUCCGCCGCACCGAGGCGCCGCGGCGUCCAUCGCUGCCGGCCAGGAAGUACAAAUCGAUGGCGGAGAUAAUGGCGACGGCCAAGUACCUCGUGAUCGAACGCGCCGAUUACAGCGACGUCCGUUGCGUGCAAUGCGGCUCCGGCGACCACGACGAUGAGCUGCUUCUCUGCGACAAAUGCGACCGUGGCUUCCACAUGUCCUGUCUCCGGCCGAUCGUCGUUCGCAUUCCGAUUGGGACGUGGCUCUGCCCUAGCUGUUCUGGCCAGAGACGAGGAAGAAGCCUUUCUCAGACUAAGAUUAUAGACUUUUUUGGUAUUCAAAAGCGCAGUGAUGGAAUGGGGGAAUUUGCUUCUACUCAAGAUGGUAGAAAGCGUAGGAGAAAGUCUGCAUCACUGGUGUUGCACAAAAAAAAAAGGAGACUAGUGUCAUUUACUCCAACAGAAGAUCAUGCACAAAGACUAAAACAGAUGGGUUCCCUUGCUUCUGCUUUAACAGCAUUGCACAUGGAAUUCACUGAUGAACUCACCUACAUGCCGGGCAUGGCUCCUAGAUCUGCCAAUCAAGCAACGUUUGAAAAUGGUGGCAUGCAGGUUCUUUCCAAAGAAGACAUAGAAACCUUGGAACACUGCAGGGCUAUGUCUAAAAGAGGCGAAGGCCCACCACUUAUAGUAGCUUUUGAUUCAUUUGAAGGUUAUACCGUAGAGGCUGAUGGCCUGAUAAAGGAUAUGACAUUUAUUGCUGAAUACACAGGUGAUGUGGAUUACAUCAGGAAUCGGGAACAUGAUGAUUGUGACAGUAUGAUGACCCUUCUUUUAGCAACCGACCCAUCUAAAAGUCUUGUCAUCUGCCCUGAUAAACGUGGAAACAUUGCUCGCUUUAUCAAUGGCAUUAACAAUCAUACUUUUAUUUUUGCAGUUACAUCUUGUUGGUUCUGAUUCUUCGCAUGGAAACUAUACUUUGAUGUCUGCAUCUUUGGAACUGGAAGGAGCGCUUUCUUUCAGGCAUCUAUUAGAUGGAACCUUCGGCAAUGAUCUAUGGUGGACAUUCACAAAUUUGGGGUCCUCAACAAUGUAUAAGGUGAAAUUUAUUUGCACUGAGAAAUAUCAAGCAAGAAGGUAAUGUUGCAUUUCUUUCUUAUAGUUUGAUUGUUCUUGUACAAUACUUACAGUUUUCAUAAAGGUGAAGGGCAUCUCCUCUAUGUUUAUUCAAACUUAAGAAUAUUAGGCAAAAUGUUAAUAUCUUUCUUUCUUGUUGCCUUGGCUGUGCUUGUUACUACUUACAGUUUUAUUUGAUUUAAUUACACCAUCCUAGCUGCCCCUUAAGUCUUUUUAUGUGACAUUGUUGUUCUUCAUUUGUUGGCAUUUAAGAGUUUGUUGAGUUGAUAUUGCACUAACUUGUUAUCCCGCCUAAAUAAUAAUUUUUUGUGAUGAUUUCUGUAGAUUCAUGGUAAUGUGUAUAGCCUAUCAAAAAAAAAUAAAAAAAAGAGUCUACUGCCUACAUAAUGGACAAAAAUAUUGGAUCAUUGUUCUUUUUUCUUUUUCAAUUGAAUGAAUGGUUCUUCCUCUUGUUGAUUCAGUCUGAUAUUAAUGGAGAUGAUUUAGUUGUUGGUUUUGUCAAGGAUCUUGUCAACCUUGUAUUCCUGUUUUUCGUUUUGUCUGUUUAGGUCUUUGCAUAUAUUAUUUGUUGUGGUGGUGAUUGUUCCCUUUUCCCCCUACUGUGGUGCUCUAUUCUCUAUUGUUUUUUUUAAACACUUUCAGGUGUUUUUUUUCCCCUUUUUUUCUUUCUUCCUUUUUUUAUUUUUUAAAAUGCUAGAGGUGUUUCCUGGAAUCUAAGAGAGAUUUUAGUACCUAAGACUGGAUUGCAACUUGUUUGUAACAUCUAGGCUAAUUAGGCUAAGUGAAGAUCUUGUUUGACUGCCACAUGGAGUAUGGUAGGCGAGCGGCUUUCCACAUUCUAGGUAGUACUCAUGAGUCAUGACAUGAAGACUAAUCCCAAGAGUUUUUUCUCAUUAAUAGGAUGUUUCUUUCAAUCCUUUUCAAAAACAAUGUAAAACUUAGUUAUAUUCCAUUAAGCUAACUCUUUCUUUAAGCGACAGAAACUUCAUUUGCAGCUUUCUUAAAAUUAUCAAAUUAUAAUGAGUUGAAUGAUUUUUGCUUGGGUAAGCAAAAUAUGCCCAUCUGACAAAUUUCUUCUUUCAGCAAAGAGAUUUCAACUAGGAUCUGAAAGCAGCUCAGAGACAGCACAUAGGAAGAUUCAGCAGUAUCUGGAGGAGAAAGUCCCAUGGAAGGAUGUAGGCGUAGGCUUGGCAUUGAGAAGGAUCCGAGAAGUGCUAUUGAGGCUUGUGUGAAACUGGGUUCUCUAUGAAGUUCAAACCAGUCUACUAGUGUUCCAUGAUCAAUCAAGUGAGCAUUCAAGAUCAUGGGUUGUAGAUAUAAGCAGAAUAAAUUUUAAGGAUGGCAUUGGUUGUACAUGUGGUGAGUGUUUGUAAAAUAAAGUUAUCAUUCUCAUGGGAGACUUUGGAUAAUGUAGUUGAAAGUUUUGGAGAAGGUUAAGUCAACUUCUUGUUGUAAAGAGAUGGAUUUUUUCCCCCUUUUUUCUUAAUUUGAUUGGAGAAGUGUCAGUAUUGUAUAUCAGAUACAAAGAAUAACUUGAUGUAUUUUAAAUUUAUCAAUCUCUUUUGUUUUCUUUGGGACCAAAA